rnacentral:rRNA from 1 species
AGCGAACGCUGGCGGCAGGCCUAACACAUGCAAGUCGAACGAAGUCUUCGGACUUAGUGGCGGACGGGUGAGUAACACGUGGGAACGUGCCUUUAGGUUCGGAAUAACUCAGGGAAACUUGUGCUAAAAACGAAUGUGCCCUUCGGGGGAAAGAUUUAUCGCCUUUAGAGCGGCCCGGGUCUGAUUAGCUAGUUGGUGCGGUAAAGGCUCACCAAGGCGACGAGCAGUAGCUGGUCUGAGAGGAUGAUCAGCCACAUUGGGACUGAGACACGGCCCAAACUCCUACGGGAGGCAGCAGUGGGGAAUCUUGCGCAAUGGGCGAAAGCCUGACGCAGCCAUGCCGCGUGAAUGAUGAAGGUCUUAGGAUUGUAAAAUUCUUUCACCGGGGACGAUAAUGACGGUACCCGGAGAAGAAGCCCCGGCUAACUUCGUGCCAGCCGCCGCGGUAACAC